rnacentral:lncRNA from 1 species
ACAAUAUAUAAAAGCACACACAUAGAAACAAUGAGAAAACGGACAGAACGAGAGGGGGCUAAGGAACGAAAAACAGAGAAAUGGGGAGAGGGACAUGAAAAACAGAGGAGGACCAUUUUUCCUUUCUUCUUCUUCUUUGAAUACAUGACACACACUCAUCUUCCUUACCUCAUCUCUUCCUAAAAACUACCAUAAAAACUAUAAAGCUACUAAACCACCUGAAACACACACAAAAAAGACACACAAAUAGAAAAGAGAACAAAAAGAAACAAGAGAAAAUGGAUCUGUUUGAACACACGAAAAUGGAGUUCAGCAAAAGCUUACAAAAAAUGGAGUUCAUUGGUCUCUUUUCAUUACUCCAUUAACGUGGCUCCAAAGUAGUACACAAAGCAGCCAUUAGAGCAUCUGAUUAGUUAAGCUUUAUUCCACUCCUAAAAAAUAGUCUAUUCGAAUCCAUAAAAAUCGUUCUCUGCUAGCUCACUCUCACCGGUAUUUCGCCGAUGUUUUCCCAUCUCCAGCUAGUUUUUUUUCCCGCGUGAACAGUCCCCAAAAAAAUCCGAAAAAUCACUGCAAAGGCUGUCAUUUUUCACACAAACUAAGUAGCUCCUCCGCACUACAUCAACCACUACAAAAUGAGCCGAGUUUGAGUCGAAGUUCGAGGUUGCCGGAAAGUUCCCGUUCAUGGUCAGUUUUCGUUGUCCUUAAGGUUCAUCCCUUUCACCUCCUGCUUCAAUGAAAUUUCUGCCUUGUUUAGCAAAUAUCCUAUUGUUCUUGGGUUUACUUGUUUUAGUUGAAUUUAGCAUGUUUUUUUAAAAUUUGAAAAGCUCACUCAAGGCCCACUUUCUUGUUCAUUACUGCUGGUUUCAUAUUUUUGUUUGCCUUUGUUGAUAGCUUUGAGUGUUUUAUGUGUUUAUUUCAUUAGCUUUUUAUACAAAAUUAUUUCAUGUUGGCUAUUGUAUUUGGAUAACGUUUGAAAUUGCAAGAACAUUGAAAGGCAUGACUAAGAAUUUUUAUCCAUGUGUUUUAAGAUUUAAAAAGCUAAAAGAUGAAUUGGGAAAUGGACUGCUAAGGCAAAUAAAGUGGAGGAUUACUUGGGUGAAAUCGAGAAGUGGAUUAUGAAUUUUCGGAAUUUGUUUGGUUGCAUAAGAAUUAAAUUUGGACUCGAAUAAGUUAAUUAAAUUUUUGCGCAGCCCGACAAUAAUAAGAGACGUGAAAGCUAGCCCAUCUUUUCAUAAUAGCUAAAAUUAUGCAUUUCUUUCACAAUAAUUUCAUAUCCAUAGAUCAUGACCUCACAAAAAAUCUCAUAGUUUAGGAAGAAUAAUGAACACCUUAAAGUGCUUUACGCUCGCUUUUAAUUGAUCAAUCGUGAUUAUAUAUGUGUUCGCGUAACAUAAUUGUAAUUCCAAAUUAACACCGGAGUACGCAUUCGGGCGACUUUGGAUAGUUAAUCUCAAUAAUAACAAAGCGUUAUUAAUUGUGGACACGUUCGUGUGAUAUGAUUUUUGACGUGCCAAAUAAAUAGGUACACGUGCGCGUGACCCAUUUUAAGAUAAUUCCUUAAUUAAAAGAGGCAAAUGCACAUAGGUUCUAAAAUGAGUAAUUAGACAAUUUGAUUAAAGCCAAGUAUGAUCAAAGAAACCAUGCUAAAACUACGGAACUUGGAAAUGCCUAACACCUUCUCCCUGGUUAACAAAAUUUCUUAUCCGAAUUUUUGUGUUCGCAGACCAUAAAUAAGAGUCAACUUCCUCGAUUCGGGAUUUUAAACUGGUGUCUUGGGACACCAUAAAUUAUCCUAAGUGGUGACUCUGAAUUUGAUGUAAAUAAUCUUGUUUCGAUUGUCACUUAAAUUGGAAAAAACUCCCUUAUAUAUCCUUUUGGGGUGUAAAAAAAAGAAGUGUGACAGGGGUAAGGGCCUAACCUUAUUUGCCUUGCAGAAUUAUGAGGCACGAAGUCCCCAAAUUUGGCAUGGUCACCAAUAUCCACUCAAGAUUGUUGAGUUGGUGGGAAGAUUUACAUUCUAGUGACAAAGCCCUCGUUAGAAAAUAUCUAGGUAAUCUACCAUCCCUCCUAGAGAUCCAGCCUAACAACAUGAUAAUAGAGGCUGCUAACUUAUUUUGGGAUUGUAAAAGGGUCGUGUUCCGCUUUGGGGACAUCGAAAUGACAUCUUUGCUAGAGGAGAUAGGAGGGCAGGCCGGUCUAGUAUGGCAAACCCCGGAUUUGCUAAUGUCUGAGAACCGCAUAGGCAAGAGUUUCCUAAAAAUGAUUGGUUUGAAGAAGAAUGCAGAAUUGGAAUGCAUAAAGGAAUCGUACAUCCUUUUUGACUACCUGUAUGAAAGUUACGGUCAUAGCAAAUCAUAUUGUACCUACCAUGACGAGUUUGUCAUCACAUUCUUGGGACAUAUCCAUCGUAGGGUAUUCGUCUUCAUGUUUUACUUCCUGGGUCUGAUCGUGUUUCCAAUGAAGAAAGAGAGGAUCCAUACUAGGCUGGCUAUGGUAACCAAGACCCUAAUGGAGGGGAUUGGUGGGCAGACAUUCAGCACUGUACCCAUGAUCAUCUCAGACAUAUACCGAGCCUUAGAAAAGUGUCAACGAGGAGCGAGACACUUUGAAGGCUGCAAUCUACUACUUCAGCUUUGGCUCAUGGAACAUCUCCAAAAGGGCAAAUACCGACAAGAAAUUCAGCGAAGGGCCUGGGAUGACCACACGCUUUCCACCAUCCAAAGCGAAUGAAUUACAUCCCCGACAUGUUCACUCAGCCUGAGAAUGCCAAAGAAUGGGUUGAGCUCUUUGAUAAUCUGACUGAAGAACAGGCUCAAUAGAUGUUCGAGUGGUUUCCGACAGAGGAGUUCAUCGCCCGAUCCAGAGAUGCACCUUUCCUGAUACUGAUUGGUCUAAGAGGAACAUACCCUUACGUCCCUCUUCAAGUUAUGAGGCAAGCAGGUAGGAAGCAAGUCAUACCCAGGGUUGACAAGAUCAGCCAUCUUCGAGCUGAUUUCCAAAAUGAUGAUAGUCCCCACAAGUGCCAAUCCCAGCACAUGUGGCACUACAAGAUCGUAAUGGAGAAAGACACCAUUGUGCCAAACAGAUAUCAUGUAGGUUGUACCCCUUUCUAUUAUGGUUGGUUGGAAGACAAUUGGGAUGGUCUGGGCAAGCCAGGAUUCGUUCAAGGCCACAGAAUUAUAGAUGAGAAAGCCGAGGCACAAGUCAAAUGCAACCAGCUACGCAAAAGGAUCCGUGAAUCCGAGAGCGAACACCGCGAGAUACACAAGUCCAACAAGAAGCUGAUUGAGGAAUGGAAAGACAUGGCUAUCAGUACCAACAAAAGUCUAGGAUACUUUGAGCGGGGCAUAGUAGAACUAGAGGGAAAAUUUCUCAAAAAGGUUAAAGACUGUCAAAAGGCUGAAGGGACCAAAGGUGGACAUCUAGCCAGAGCAUACCUGUUGCUGGGACUUCGCGAAUUGGGAAAACUGUUCGAAGGAGCCAAGGAUGUCGAGUUUGGGGAAGGUCCUNNNNNNNNNNNNNNNNNNNNNNNNNCAUUAUCCGGUGUCUGCCAAACUCAGGUUCCCCUGCACCAACAGUAUGGCCGAGUAUGAAGCAUGCAUCUUAGGACUCAAAAUGGCCAUUGACAUGAACGUUCAAGAGUUGCUGGUGAUUGGAGAUUUAGACUUACUUAUACAUCAGGUACGAGGAGCAUGGGCAACCAAGAAUUCCAAGAUACUCUCGUAUCUGCACCACGUACAGGAAUUGAGAAAGAGGUUCAUGGAGACGAAAUUCCAACAUGUUCCCAGAAUUCAGAAUGAGUUCUCCGAUGUAUUGGCUACCCUAUAAUCUAUGAUACAACAUCCAGACAAGAAUUUCAUUGAUCCCAUUCCAGUGAAAAUCCACAAUUAGCUAGCUUAAUAUGCCCAUGUUGAAGAAGAAGCAGAAUAAAGCCUUGGUUUCAUGAUAUCAAGGAAUAUUUGGAAAAAAGAGAGUACCCAGAGCUUGCAAAUCCUACUCAGAAAUGCACACUUCGGAGAUUGUCCAACAACUUCUUUCACAGCAGAGGAAUUCUGUAUAUGAGGACUCCUGAUUUAGGAUUAUUAAGAUGUGUCGACACAAAGGACGCAUCCAAGCUACUAGAGGAAAUUCAUGCGAGGACCUGCAGUCCAUAUAUGAAUGGUUUUAUCUUAGCAAAAAAGAUACUCCAGCCGAUUACUUUUGGAUGACUAUGGAAACGGACUGCAUCCAGUGUGUCCAGAAAUGCCACCACUGUCAGAUAUAUGUAGACAUGAUAAAGGUACCUCCAAACGAGCUUAAUGCAACAAGCUCACCGUGGUCGUUCGCCGCCUGGGGAAUGGACGUUAUUGGACCAAUCGAGCCUGCCGCUUCCAACGGACACUGGUUCAUCCUAGUAGCCAUCAACUAUUUCACCAAAUGGGUCAAAGCAGCAUCUUACAAAGCAGUGACUAAGAAAGUCGUGGCACACUUUGUCCGCAACCGUAUUGUUUGUCGAUUUGGAAUUCCAGAGUCAAUCAUUACUGAUAAUGGCUCCAACCUCAACGGAGACUUGAUGAAAGCUAUGUGCGAAACUUUCAAGAUCAAAUAAAAGAAUUCCACAUCCUACAGACCUCAGAUGAAUGGAGCUGUAGAAGCCGCCAACAAGAAUAUCAACAAGAUAUUGAGGAAAAUAAUAGAGAAGCAUAGACAGUGGCACGAGAAGUAAUCAUUUGCUCUACUGGGGUAUUGCACCACAGUCCGCACAUCAACCGGGGCAACCCCUAUAUGUUGGUUUACAGUAAAGAGGAUGUCAUUCCCACUGAGGUAGAAAUUUCUUCCCUAAGGAUCAUACAAGCAACUGAGCUCGGCGACGCAGAGUGGGUAAAAGUUGUUAUGAGCAACUAGCCCUUGUAGAUGGAAAGAGAAUGAAUGCAUUUUGCCAUGGUCAACUCUAUUAGAACAGAAUGUCCAGAGCCUUCAAUAAGAGAGUUAAGCCAAGACAGUUCACACCGGGGCAGCUAGUGUUGAAGAAAAUUUUUCCACAUCAAGAUGAAGCCCAAGGGAAGUUCUCUCCAAACUAGCAGCGUCCAUACAUGGUUCACCGAGUUUUGACAGGAGGAGCCCCCAUACUUGCAGAAAUGGACAGAGAAGUCCGGCCAAAGCCGAUCAAUUUAGAUGCAGUCAAGCGUUACUAUCUGUAAUCUUUAUGCUUUCCUUAUAUGAUGUAAAUUGAACUAUGCCUGACCUAAUUCCCAUUUAAGAGGGGAUACGUAGGCAUCCCUAUGGGUUCGGUCACAAUUCAAUAAAAAUUUCAUUUCCCCCGCAAUUGGAAACUGGGGCAGAAUUUUGAGAAGGACCCUAAAAUUCCAUAGCAGGAGAGGUUGCAAUGACCUGAACUACGUCACAGUCAUCGGUUCAUCUAAAAGCUAUUUUUAAUUAUACAUUUACGUCAUACUUUUACAAAAUCAUGCAUGUUUAUUAUUGAAACUGCUUUAUUUAGCAACGCUACCCUAAUGAUACAGAUGGUAUCACCAGAUCAAAGCCGAACGAGUCAAGCAAAGCCAACAGGGAUACGAACUAACCUCCCCCUUACAAAACUUACGAUUUUUCUUUGGAUGUAGGCACUAGGAUUGCGAAAUCCUUAAACAUACUGUACGCCUAGGGGACAAACAUUGGUCAAAAAUACGAUCCUCAGAACUGUUGCACUUGCCAACAUUUGCUAUCAGCACACACAAGUAAUGCUCUGUAGUCAUAAUGCUCCCAGUAAUCACAAUGCCGCAAUCU